rnacentral:lncRNA from 1 species
GACGUGACCAGCUAGCGUAAGUAGCUAAGCAUCUUGUAUGUGACCAACUAGUGAUAUCUGUGUAUCCGUGGAAACCUAAAGCCGCUACCGAUUUAACGAGCAACCUAGGUUUCAGGAAGAUCCUUAGGAACGUAAAGUCCCUGCCUAUUUAACGAGCAACCUACAAUUUCUAAAAGAUACUUGGGAACCUAAAGCCCUUGCCAAUUUAAUGAG